AGGUGAGCUUAUAUAUGAUCUUAUAGCGAUUCGGGUUGAUAACCAGUUGAAAUUAAGCCAGUUUUUUGUGUGUGUAGAUUUGUAUUGUUUUAUAAAAAAGAAGAUGUGGUAUGAUUACAAAUGAGACAACUAUCCACAAAAGACCAUAAUGACACAGACAUUAACAACUAUAGGUCACCGUACGGCCUUCAACAAUGAGCAAAGCCCAUACAGCAUAGUCAGCUAUAAAAGACC
rnacentral:lncRNA from 1 species